rnacentral:rRNA from 1 species
CCUACGGGAGGCAGCAGUAGGGAAUAUUGGACAAUGGGCGCAAGCCUGAUCCAGCCAUGCCGCGUGAGUGAUGAAGGCCUUAGGGUUGUAAAGCUCUUUCACCGGGGAAGAUAAUGACGGUACCCGGAGAAGAAGCCCCGGCUAACUUCGUGCCAGCAGCCGCGGUAAU